rnacentral:rRNA from 1 species
AUUUAUAUGGUAAUAAGAAUUUUUUAAUAAAAAAACUUUAUGUAUUUAAUUAAUAGUUUAUUUAUAGAAGUUUUAUUUUUUAAUUUUAAAUAUUUAAAAUUAGUUUUUUAAUAAGUUCUGGCGAAGCCUGUGCCAGCCGCCGCGGUUAUUCAGGCAGAGUAAAAAUUCUAUUUUUAAUUAAAAAAGUAUUUUUGUUUUUUCAAAAAAAGAAGGUAAAAUUUUUUUUAGUUUUAUGUUAAUUGUUUUUUAUAAAUUUAUUUAUAAACUAGGAUUAGAUACCCUAUUAUUGUUAUAGUGUAAAAUUGGGAGUAAUUUUUAGGUUAUUAAAUCUUAAGAUUUUGGCGGUAUUCUAAGCUUUUUAGAGGAAUUCAUUCUUUAAUUGAUGAAACUCAAAAAUCUUACUUGAUUUAGUUAUAACAGUUUGUAUAUCGCUAUCAUUUAUAAUUAUAUUAUUUGGUUAUGAUUUUGGUUAAUAUUUUUAAGAAUUUUAGGUCAAAAUGCAGCAUAAGAUUAAGGUUGAAAUGGGUUACAGUUAUUUAUAUAUGGUUUGUUUGAAAUUUUAUACAGGAUUUAAUAGUAAAUUAAAAUUAUAAUGUUUAAUUGAAUUUAGCUCUAGGAUAUGCACAUAUCGCCCGUCGCUCUCACUUGUGAGAUAAGUCGUAACAAAGUAAAAGUACCGGAAGGUGUUUU